GGGCGUGUAACUCAGUGGUAGAGUGCUUGCUUCGCACGCCUUGCGCGGAGAUUGCGAGAAGUCCAGGGUUCAACUCCCUACUCGUCCA